AGCAGCAGCCACGGUAAUACGUAGGUGGCAAGCGUUGUCCGGAAUUAUUGGGCGUAAAGGGCUCGCAGGCGGUCUCUUAAGUCUGAUGUGAAAGCCCCCGGCUCAACCGGGGAGGGUCAUUGGAAACUGGGAAACUUGAGUGCGGAAGAGGAGAGUGGAAUUCCACGUGUAGCGGUGAAAUGCGUAGAGAUGUGGAGGAACACCAGUGGCGAAGGCGACUCUCUGGUCUGUAACUGACGCUGAGGAGCGGAAGCGUGGGGAGCGAACAGGAUUAGAUACCCCCGUAGUCCCUGUCUCUUAUAC
rnacentral:rRNA from 1 species